CCAAUCCAUUUAUAAAAUUAGCCAGGGAGGGAGGCGUGUCAGGUGUGUAGUCGCGCUUAAACUUUCCCUCUCCAAGAGAAAGGAAAAAACAAGGCCACUACUGCACAAUCACAUUGAAGAAUUUAUGGCAGAACCGUACAUCACAGACGAACAAGACUACGAAGCAAUGCAAUUAUUAGAAAUAGGAUUGGAACUAUCCGAAUCGGAAUAUUCCGAGGAGGAUGAGGAUUUCAUUCCCGUUGUAGAAUUGGAUUCUUCUCCUAGGUUUUUGUUAAAUUCUGACCAAGCAACAACAACAACAGCUGCAGCAGCAGCCGAAAAUCUCAACUUUCAGGAAGAGGAAGUAGACGUGGAAGAGGAGAGAAAUAAGCGAAGAAGAGUAGAGAAAUUAGGAAGUGGAGGAGACAUUUGUUACCGUAAUGGAGGAGAUGAUGCUGGUGGAGAGAGCUCUCAAAAUAGUCAAUGGAACCGGAGUGAAUUUGAUGGGCUUUUUUGCCCUAUUUGUAUGGAAGCAUGGACCAACGAAGGCGACCAUCAUAUCUGCUGCCUUCCUUGUGGACAUUUGUUUGGUCUUUCUUGCAUCGAGAAAUGGUUAAGGCAACGUGGAAGGUUAGCCAAGUGUCCUCAAUGUAAUAGAAAAGGUACAUUGAGGGAUAUUAGGAAAUUGUUUGUGCCGAGGAUUGCUGUUGUUGAUGAAGAAUCACAGAAGAGAAUUCGAUUUCUUGAAGAAAAAUGUGCUUCUCUGGUAAAGAAGGAUGUGGAUUUGUGCAAGAAAGAAUCUGAAUGGAAAAGGAGAGAAGCUGCAUUGCAGCUUGAAGUUCAAAAGUGUAAAGAGAGGACAAUUUAUUUGGAGCAUUUAUUAGGAGAUUUGCAGAGCAGGCCGUCUGGAGUUGCCACUGCCUAUAGGGGCUCUCAAGGACAUGAAUUUGGAAAUAGCAUCUACUCUGAUUUCAACAGGCAGGGAUCUUCAAGCUGCUUCAUGUUACAGAGAGAGUUGCGGGUGGACGGUGCACGUUUAUUUGAUGUUGAUGCUUCUGGUAAAAUUUUAUUGCUUGUGCGGAGGGUACCAAUGAUGGGUGGAUCACACGUGCUUACCAAAAUGAGCUUAAUUCCUCCACAUGAAAGUGAAGAUAUUUUCCUUCCUCCUGCCACAAAAAUCAUAAAGGACCUGCAUAUAUCCCCCACUAAUGGAAGUCUCGCACUUUUUGCUUCCUUAGGCAAGAAACUGUCAGUUCUAAGUAUGGAGAGCAACAAUGUCAUCCUUUCUUAUGACUUGCCGGCUGCUGCUUGGUCUUGUUCAUGGGAUCUUAACUGCUCACACUAUGUAUAUGCUGGACUACAGAAUGGUUCACUUUUGGUGUUUGAUAUGCGUAUAACUGGGAGUCCUGUAGAAUCCAGAUUAGGGCACACAACCGACCCAAUUCAUACUGUACAGUCCCUUCAACAUAUCUCAACUCUUCCUUCUGGUGUCAAAACAGUGGUGUCUGCUUCCUCUGUUGGCAUGUGUCAAUGGAACUUUGGUGGUGAGGAAGAAAGGCCAUUUUUGAUACCUGAAACAACAAAUCAAGGAGUAUGUGUAUCCCUUGCUUAUUGUGCGAGCAGUGAUGACAUUGUUGUUUCUUAUCGUCCCAGAGUUGAAAUGUCCAACGAGGUUGUUUCUCAAACUUUAUUUAAGCCUUCCCUUGCUACUGGGCAAGGAGUGCUUGGUUCUCAUCUUCAUUUGAAGAGAGCAGGCAGCAACUAUGAGAAGUUGGGUAUUGCAUGUUCAACUGUAAGUGGUAUUAGACUGCCCAAAUCUAGCAUCAUAGACAGACAGAAUCAGAAGCCUCUAUUUGCCACAGGGGACGAAGUUUCUUGUGGAUUGAUCUUGCAAGAGUUGCCAUCUUUUACAGCUACUCAACGGCUUAAAUCACACCAGCAUUUUAUUUAUGAUGUGAAGUACACAAGCACACACAGCCAAGGUUUGCUUGGUUGUUUAAGUGAGGAUACAGUACAACUUUUCAGCACCAAGCUCUCGUGAGAAGGAAGCCUUAAACAUGCAGCUGGUAUGUUACUCCUAUGUGUUGUCUGUGGAUUUAAACAUGAGAAGGAAGCCUUAACCUGGUCUGAACUUUUGAGGAGGCGAUCAGCCCCUGUGUUUCGAUCUUCUGUCCAGUUGAAGUCUGAUAUCAAUUUUGUAAUGUAGGAAAAUAUCAUCUGAUUAACUGGGUUCCCUCGCCGUGAAGCUGUUGUACAGGAUCAUCCUGUGAUGGUUAAUGUUGUGCCGUGCAUUGGAUUUUCUUGUAAUAUAUUGUUUUUUUCGAAGGAUGCCAUCUCUAUAAAAUAACAUUACCAUGCGGCUCCUCUUCAUUUUAUUUUUGUAAAUUCCUGAAUUGUGUAAAUCAACUUUCUUACAUUCUCAGCAUGUGAUGUAAAAUUAUUUAUAUCAA